rnacentral:tRNA from 1 species
GCCCCGGUGGCGGAAUCGGUAGACGCAGUGGACUCAAAAUCCACCGCCUAAUCAGCGUGCCGGUUCGAGUCCGGCCCGGGGCACCA